GUGACAGAUGUCACAAUUGUUCUUUAAAAAUACAACAAGUAGAGCAUAAUGAUACAGGAACAUAUACCUUCAGAUUUGAUAACUAAGUCUGAAAAGAGCAAAUGGACUGGUAGAGGUGGCUCAACAUUAAAGGUUGUUGAUUUGAACAUUUCUGUGACAAAACCUCGUGGAAACGAAACAACCAAGGAAGGCGACUCUGUGAAUCUGACGUGUAUUAACGGCUGUGAUGGCGGUAACCUUUCAUCUGCUUUCACCUGGUUUAAAAAUGGAGAACACAUAAAUGAAGGAGCUGUACUUUAUUUAAGCAACAUGUCCUCCGCAAACUCUGGAAACUACACUUGUUCUCUGAAAACACACACAGGAACAACUUCAGGAGUCACAAAUAUUGAUGUUGAAUAUGGCCCCAAGAACACAUCAGUGUCUGUCAGACCAUCGAUGGAGGAAGACGCCGGCAGCAACAUCACCCUGGUCUGCAGCAGCCAUGCAAACCCCCCAGUGGAG